GGCCAUAGUUCAGUUGGCAGAGCAUCUGCUUUGCAUGCAGAAGGCCACAGGUUCAAUCCCCAGCAUCUCCA